GUAGUUGACGUUGGUCAGCACGGAGGCCACAGGAUCCCAGCCCGGCCUUUGUGGGACUGAGGUGGCGCUGAGUGGGAGAGCAGCAGGCGAUGCGCGAAAGGCGGGACUUGGAGAUAAAUACUGAGCACCCACAACAGGCAGCCAGCACCACUGCAGAUUGGAUACUGCAAUGAUGAUAAGCAUGGCCUGCCUUUAUGGAGGUUCUGGAUGUUCCUGUGGAUAACCUCAAGGAGCACGGGACCUGGGACAUGACUGCCCCCAGCAUUCCUUCUGGCGGCAGACAGAGUUUGUCAGUUCGCCAACAUCCUGCUUUCAUGAGAACAGUUUGCUGUUUGCUCACAGAGCCUCCAGUGGUAUACUGAGUUGGUCACGACCCUCAUUCCUUCGGCCUCCAACAUCUCCCCUUUUGUUUUUGCAUUAAUUGAAUAAAGGUAAUUUCAGGCUGUGCAGCUUUCAAUUGCCGGUUGGUGGUUCACCCGAUCCUAUAGACUAUGAGCAAAAAAACAGAGACAUAACAACAUUAUUCUUGUAAUUAUUAUAAAAGAGACAUUGAAGUUAUGUUUAAGAUGACGUCACUGAGGUAAGGGCGGGUUAAAGCCUGUCCUAUACCAAGCAAGUUGUGCAGCCAACUGGGGGACUGAAUCCCAGUGUGAUGUGAUGAAGAGGUGUUGAAGGUCCACCACCAGUGCCAGUGAAGUUUGUGCCAAGAGAUUCCGCUGGCUCAUGGCUCGUACUGGAGGUAACAGGCCCACGGUUGAAUACCAUGGAUCCCUCCGGUCUCCCGUUCCAUGGUCACACACACCUGGAGGGCACCCACACGGUUUGUCCAUCUCCUGUAAAAACACAAGCAUACCCUCGUCCCCACGUCAGCAAAUCCACCGGACCUUUCCAUUGUCCUUCUUCUGGGGAUUUCCAUAACACUUUUGGAUAAACUUGCCUCUUUUCCUCUAGCAGUUGCCAGUGUCGUUCUGCUGGGGUCUUGCCAUCCGUACCAGGAGUCAAACAAUUUAAAGUAAACAAGGCUAAAUGUAAUUUUGUUUGAAGUGGUAAUUGGUCCCCUAUUCUCCCUUUUUGUUUUUUCAGCAUGCGUUGUAGUGUUUGAUGUACCCGCUCAAUAAUGCCUGGCCCUCAGGGAUUGUAUGGAAUUCCUGUUUUAUGAUUGAUUGCCCACAAUUGUAAAAAAUUGGGAAAGCAUGACUAACAUAAGCGAGUCCACUGUCAGUUUUAAAUUGUUUAGGGACCCCCAUAUGGGCAAAUGACGACAGACAGUAUCGUCAGACAUGACCAGCUGUUUCCCCAGUUUGGCAUGUGGCAUGUAACAUAUGGGAGUAAGUGUCUAUAUUACAUGAACAUAGCGGAGUUAGCCAAAGGCUGCUAUAUAUAUGUAACAUCCAUCUGCCAGAUUUCAUUUGGAGCCAAGCCUCGUGGGUUGCAUCCUUCCACAGGUGCAACACCAGGGACAUGCUGGCAAGUGGGGCAGGCUUGCACAAUAACUCAAGCCUGGCUGCGAGGCAGAUGAAACAUACGAGUAAGGGCAAGUUGUUCUGAUGCAGUAAAGCAUGGGAAGCUUGGGCUUGUUGAAAUAUAGAACUGAUGAAUUUAUCUGCUCUAUCAUUACCUAGAGAUAGUGGCCCCAGGAAGUUGUGUGUGAGAUCGGAUAUGAGAAAUAUGAAAAGGGGCAGCAUGAGAGCGAACAGCUUUUUGGAGUCUCAGAAAUAGGUUAAGCAGUUCUGGUUUUAAGGUGCUCUUGUGUGGGCGGCAAGCCAUCCAGGCGCCGAAGCAAGAGACAGAGGACACGGGCUGUUCCAGUAUAAUAAAAUAUAAAACAAGAAUAGUUAUACCAGAUAUAGAUCUUAGAUAUGAUUAUAUAUGAAUAUCAUUAAUCAUUAGUUUGUAGCAAUUACUUUUUAUUCCAAUAUUACAAUAAUCCUUGCUCUAUAAUCAUAGCCUAGGAAAAACCAGGCCAUACAGAGAUAGGAGCUGAGGGGACAUAGUGAGGUGUGACCAGAAGACAAGAGUGCGAGCCUUCUGUUAUGCCCAGACAGGGCCACCAGAGGGCUCCUUGGUCUAGUGGUGACGCCAGCGUUUGGGAAGACCGUGGUCUAGCGGUAGCGAAAAGUGUCAAGGAACAACACCCGCUACUUAGCAGACCGGGAAAGGGUGGGGGGCGGUCUCCCUUUCCCUGGGGGAGGUUAGAGAAGACUCUGCUCCUCCACCUCUUGUGGAGGGCCUGACAUUAGUCAGGCUCGCCCACAGUUAUCCGGAGGCCUAACCGUCUCCCUGUGAUUCUGUGCUUCAGUGGUCACGCUCCUAGUCCGCCUUCAUGUUCCAUCCUGUACACCUGGCUCUGCCUUCUAGAUAGCAGUAGUAAAUUAGUGAAAGUACUAAUAGUCCCUGAUAUGCAGAAAUAAUGGCGUAAGCUGUCUUUCUCUCUGUCUCCUCUCCCUCUCUGCCUCGGCUGCCAGGCAGGGAAGGGCCCCCUGACCAGUGGACACAUGACCCACGUGACCUUACCUAUCAUUGGAGAUGACUCACACUCUUUACCCUGCCCCUUUUGCUUUGUAUCCAAUAAAUAAGAGCGCAGCCAGACAUUCGGGGCCACUACCGGUCUCCGCGCAUUGGUGGUAGUGGUCCCCCAGGCCCAGCU
rnacentral:lncRNA from 1 species